rnacentral:rRNA from 1 species
AGAGUUUGAUCCUGGCUCAGAACGAACGCUGGCGGCAGGCCUAACACAUGCAAGUCGAGCGUGAAAGGGACUUCGGUCCUGAGUAAAGCGGCGCACGGGUGAGUAACACGUGAAUAAUCUGCCCUCAUGACCGGGAUAACAGACCGAAAGGACUGCUAAUACCGGAUAAGCCCACGAAUCAAACGGGUGCGUGGGAAAAGCAUGGGAUUCUUCGGAACCAUGUGCGUGAGGAUGAGUUCGCGUCCCAUUAGAUAGUUGGUGAGGUAAUGGCUCACCAAGUCGACGAUGGGUAGCUGGUCUUAGAGGAUGAUCAGCCACACUGGGACUGAGACACGGCCCAGACUCCUACGGGAGGCAGCAGUGGGGAAUCUUGCGCAAUGGAGGAAACUCUGACGCAGCCAUGCCGCGUGAGUGAUGAAGGCCUUCGGGUUGUAAAGCUCUGUCUAAGGGGAAAAAUGAUGCGAUGUCGAAUAGGCAUGGCAAGUGAUGGUACCCUUAAAGAAAACACCGGCUAACUCCGUGCCAGCAGCCGCGGCAAUACGGGGGGUGUAAGCGUUGUUCGGAAUUACUGGGCGUAAAGGGCGUGCAGGCGGCCACCGCAAGUUGAAUGUGAAAUCCCCGGGCUUAACCCGGGAAGUGCGUUCAAGACUGCGGGGCUUGAAUACGGGAGAGGAUCGUGGAAUUCCUGGUGUAGAGGUGAAAUUCGUAGAUAUCAGGAGGAACACUCGUGGCGAAGGCGACGGUCUGGACCGAUAUUGACGCUGAGACGCGAAAGCGUGGGUAGCAAACAGGAUUAGAUACCCUGGUAGUCCACGCCGUAAAC